AAAAGGGUGACAUGAACUACACAUUAUAUGUAAACACAUCGUCGUGCCAAAGUCAAGUUCUCUUUUUGUAACCAAUACACAUGCAUGUUCUUUUACUUCAAGCCUCUUGGGUUCACCAGACGCAAAACUGCAUUUAAUAAUCAACAAUAUUGGUUAACAAUAAUGGAGAGAGGGUGUUUCUUUUAAGAAUGCGGUGUAUUAAAACCUGCAACUAUCAUGUUAAACGUCAUAACUUUUCCUUUAGUGCUACUUUUUUAGGUGCGGAGGGUGCAGUGAGGUGACCGCUCGUCAAAGACCCUCACACACACACACGCACACACACAUGCACACGACGUAAACCGUGGGAGAGCUUCAGACACACACGCACACGCGAGGAGUGUAUAUGCGUGCAAACAGCAGCCUGUGUUUGUGGGAGGCUGCAGCAUGCACAAAGUUGGUCUGCAAACUUGAUUGGAAGAAGAAAUGCGCCUGAUAACAGAGAUGGAGAACUGGACCUGUGGAAGCCUCCAGAAAGCAGAAGAUGGACAACAAUGUGACGUUUAGGAUUUGCCUUCCACUGAGCCUGCCAAAGGUUUGACGAAGACCUCACGGAAGCAAAUGCCCCGAUGAUCUCGGUCUUCAGGCGAAAACGUCAAGGAUAUUCAGCAUAUCGCAAAGGCGUGGCCUUGCACCUCAGGAGUGGACCCCGCCCAAAAAAAAGGAGCCUUUUUUCAUAUCAACUUCAUUUUUGGGAGCUGGAGUGUCCGUGUAUUUUUUUGGUUUUACCUGACUUUUUAAAUGCCCCUGUGUGUGUCUUUUGACAACGAAAAUAAAAAAAACUCUUAA